UAAGGAAUAUUGGUCAAUGGACGCAAGUCUGAACCAGCCAUGCCGCGUGAAGGAUGAAGGUCCUCUGGAUUGUAAACUUCUUUUAUCUGGGACGAAAACGGGAUUUUUAUCUCAAUUGACGGUACCAGAGGAAUAAGCACCGGCUAACUCCGUGCCAGCAGCCGCGGUAAUACGGAGGGUGCGAGCGUUAUCCGGAUUUACUGGGUGUAAAGGGCGCGCAGGCGGGAUAAAAAGUCAGUGGUGAAAUCCUACAGCUUAACUGUAGAACUGCCUUUGAUACUUUUAUUCUUGAGUUCGGGAGAGAGCGACGGAAUUCCAGGUGUAGUGGUGAAAUACGUAGAUAUCUGGAAGAACACCAGUUGCGAAGGCGGUCUCUUGGUCCGACACUGACGCUGAGGCGCGAAAGCGUGGGGAGCAAACA
rnacentral:rRNA from 1 species